CCUACGGGAGGCAGCAGUGGGGAAUAUUGGACAAUGGGGGCAACCCUGAUCCAGCCAUGCCGCGUGUGUGAAGAAGGCCCUCGGGUUGUAAAGCACUUUCAGUGAGGAAGAACGCCUGGUGGUUAAUACCCAUCAGGAAAGACAUCACUCACAGAAGAAGCACCGGCUAACUCCGUGCCAGCAGCCGCGGUAAUACGGAGGGUGCGAGCGUUAAUCGGAAUUACUGGGCGUAAAGCGCGCGUAGGUGACUUGAUAAGCCGGUUGUGAAAGCCCCGGGCUCAACCUGGGAACGGCAUCCGGAACUGUCAAGCUAGAGUGCAGGAGAGGAAGGUAGAAUUCCCGGUGUAGCGGUGAAAUGCGUAGAGAUCGGGAGGAAUACCAGUGGCGAAGGCGGCCUUCUGGACUGACACUGACACUGAGGUGCGAAAGCGUGGGUAGCAAACAGGAUUAGAUACCCGAGUAGUC
rnacentral:rRNA from 1 species